AAAAAAAUAAAAAAAUAAAGUGACUGAUGUCACUCUCAUUCCUACACAAACACUUACAUGCACAGAAAAUUUACAAGGAUAUCUAAGAAGUACUAUUCCUAUUCAAUGCCUCAAGUAAUGCAGGUCUUUGUCGGAAAGAUUAAUGUGGACCAUAACGGGCUAUGGCAGUAUAGAAGCUGAGAGUCACAAUACAAAAGCUGAUUUGCUAGUUUAUGUCUCCAAAAUAAGCCACUUUAAAAUCUCUUUUGGAAAACUUAACGAAGAUAAGAUUUCAUAAUUCCUUCCAUAUUCAUAAUUUAUUACAUUUGUUUUUUAAUUGUUAGUGUCAUUAUUAGUAUUGGUUGGUGGUAAUCAUGACUGAGGGAGGAUGCAUUGUAGAACAUCUAGUUUUGGUGCUUUUAUUCUUGUCAUGUUCAUGGUUUUAGUCUUAUGUGCAUUUAAAAUUUUAAAGAAAAAGUUCAACAAUUUUAAAUGGCAAAGUGGAGAAAUUGACUUGUAUAUUGAAGGGGUAAGGGGCUUUUCCCCAAAAAUGUGGUAACAUAUCUAUAUAUAAGGUUUCAUAUUUCUAUGUUUUGCACGUUGGUUGCUGGACCUGCUCAUCCAGGUCCAUCUAGUAGAAGAUUGAUGGCUUCCUUUGGGAAUUAUCUUCAAAAAUGCUGAGGCUUAGUUCAGUUAGCAUAGUUAACAAGUGGGUGCUACCUUUUUUUUUAUCAAAGUUUGAAUCCUAUGGUUAAAUUAUUCUUUUGCGAAACUUCUAUUCUUGGAUGAUCUCCCCUAGUUCAGACUAGAGAGGUGGAGUUAGCACAAUAUGUAAAAAUUGUCACGUAAUACUACCUUGCUAUAAUAAUAAAAAAAUGAAUAGAAUUAGAAAGAAACACAACAGUGCUUCACUAGUGGAAGUUCUUGUAGCAGGACUGCAAUCCACUCUGCGAUAUAAUGAGCCUAGAUGACUCUAAUAAUUGCACUACAUGUGAUACGGAGGUGGCCAUGGGGUGAGCUUUAUCUCUUCAAUAAUGAAAUCUUUCUAAGGUCUAUGUUGUCACGUGGCCUUGUCUUCCUUGUGAUUGUCUACUUAUGGUGAUUUUGUUGUGCAAAUAUGAGAGCUCCUCCCGUUUCAGUUUCAGUCUUUUGGUGGUGAUCAUAUACCUUUUCUCUCCCCAGCCUUGUAGGGUCCACUUCUUUCUGAAGAUUGGACAAGUCCCUUCUCCUCUUUGUUGCUUAAAUGUGUCCACUUUUGUCUCGUGCCACCUCUCUUUUAACCUGGUCUCAUCCCUUGAAGCUCCACUAAGUUAGUUCUUGUUAGUAAUUGUGCAAUAAAGACUUCUGAUGCAUCGUUAAGCACUGUUGUUGCUUGUAGUUUGCGCUGUAUCAGAUGCUUUCCAAAUGGUCCUAUUGGAGCUUGCUUUAUGGUUCGUAUUCUCUUUGAAGCUUCCUGUCUAUGAUGAAGAUUUUCACAAGUCAUAUCGUAUGCAUAUUAAUAACUUUGAAACUAAAAGAAAAAGAAAAAGGAACAGAAAAUAACUCUGGGAUAAUCCAUAGUUCUGUUUACUAGUGUUCACUUUUAAUGAUUUAUGUCAAAAAUAGUAAAGGAAGUUAAGAAAAAUUAUUUAUUCAUUGAUUGGUGGAGAAUGAAUGUUUUAUAGAUUCUUUUUUUUUGGGGUUAGUUCCAAUCAUAAUUUCUGAAUUAUCACUUAUUUUGCUAUUAUCAUUGAACUUCAAUUUAUAUCAGCAAAAUCGUUGAACUUUAGUUUUGUUUCAAUAAGGUCUAUGUUGCUUUCUUUAUGAUGUCAUCUGAAUUUUAAAUAUGAUAAUCAAGUAAAUUUUUUCCAAUAUAAUUGUACAAUUAAAAAUAUGCUAUUUUUAAUCAACACAGAAAAGUUUACUGAAAUCCAUUCAAAAGUUUAGCAUUAACAACCCUAUUGAAACAAUACCAAAAUUGUGAUUUUAUGAUACAAAUUGAAAUUCACUAAUCUUGAUGAAAUUUAAUUAUGCUUUCUUCUUAUGAAAUAAUUUAUCAACUUGGUGACAUUAUACUUUUGGAGUUUGGAGCUUAGUGCUAAUGGAUCUAAAUGUGUGUUUUUCACCAUUUAGCCUAGAGAAAAUGAAUGAAUCACAUAUAAAAACUUGCUAAUAUGUGUUUUUCUACUCGCUUUGAAUGAUUAAAGUUGAAUGGCAUACCUGCCAUUAGCUCAAGAAUCCAAUGGUUAGAUGCUUGUUCUGUAAUGCAUGAGGUUAGACUUCAAACAGUUAAAUUCCUUGUCUUCCUCCCCAUUACUGAAAAGAAAUUAAUGAUUGGCAUAUCUGUGUCAAAAGGGUAGGCAUCAAAUUUUAUCAAACGUCCAAUUAUCUCUUAUAAUUAUCUUGUUUAUCAUUAAAGUGCUUUAACAGCAAACAUAGCACUAGAUUUUCUAUGAAUGAUAGAUCCUUUUUUCUUUUCCUAGACAACUGUGAUUGGACUUGGCCAAGGGAUGGUUAAGAAAUGGAACUGGACUGGUUCAAUUCAGAAUUGAAAUUGGAACUUUUCAAAACCGGAUUGAUCAAAAUCAUCUUUGACCGGACCGAAAUUGGCUGGUUUAGGUCUAAGUCAAAACUAGAUUUAAAAAAAAUAUGAAAAAAAUUUCAACCGUUGGAUUUUAUGUAACCGGAACUGAAUCGGAACCACAGGGCCCUUUUGUUCUGGUUUCCCUGAGCCUUGUUACCGCAACUGCUGAUUCUGGUCUGGUUCGGCUAGUUGGGCAGGCCUAACUGUGAGAAAGGUUAUCUGAUAAUGCACGUAAAUAGGAAACAGUACAACCUGUAGGUCUUGUUUAAUAAAACCAAGGGGGGAGAAUUUAUUCAUUAACAGAAAAUAUAGGUUUAUCUCAUUAUUAUUUCUUGACCAUGCAAGCACCACCAAGUUCUAUUAUUAUUUCUUUUAUUGAUAUUAUCAAAUUCGAAGAAUGUGGCCUUUCUUUUUGUCUAUUAAGAUUUUUGUUUGGUUUUGUAAGUGCAUGUUCUUGACUCUUAAUCACAUACAGGUUUGUUGGGGAAACUCAACCGGGCCUGACAACUUGCAAAGAUGCUGCCAAGAGAUUAAUUGAGAUGGGGCUAGUUUUCACUCCAGUUGAAGAUGCCAUCCAGGACACGGUGGAAAGUCUAAAGGCUAAAGGAUUCCUAAAGCACAAAAUGUCAACAUCAUAGUUUAUUUUGGGGCUGAAAUUUUUUUCACUAUUUCCUUAGUUGUUACUA
rnacentral:misc_RNA from 1 species